UGGGGAAUAUUGCGCAAUGGGGGGAACCCUGACGCAGCCAUGCCGCGUGAAUGAAGAAGGCCUUAGGGUUGUAAAGUUCUUUCGGUAUUGAGGAAGGUUGAUGUGUUAAUAGCAUAUCAAAUUGACGUUAAAUACAGAAGAAGCACCGGCUAACUCCGUGCCAGCAGCCGCGGUAAUACGGAGGGUGCGAGCGUUAAUCGGAAUAACUGGGCGUAAAGGGCACGCAGGCGGUUAUUUAAGUGAGGUGUGAAAGCCCCGGGCUUAACCUGGGAAUUGCAUUUCAGACUGGGUAACUAGAGUACUUUAGGGAGGGGUAGAAUUCCACGUGUAGCGGUGAAAUGCGUAGAGAUGUGGAGGAAUACCGAAGGCGAGGGCAGCCCCUUGGGGAUGUACUGACGCUCAUGUGCGAAAGCGUGGGGAGCAAACAGGAUUAGAUACCCUGGUAGUCCACGCUGUAAACGCUGUCGAUUUGGGGGUUGGGGUUUAACUCUGGCGCCCGUAGCUAACGUGAUAAAUCGACCGCCUGGGGAGUACGGCCGCAAGGUUA
rnacentral:rRNA from 1 species